GACGAACGCUGGCGGCGUGCCUAAUACAUGCAAGUUGAGCGAUGAAGAUUGGUGCUUGCACCAAUUUGAAGAGCAGCGAACGGGUGAGUAACGCGUGGGGAAUCUGCCUUUGAGCGGGGGACAACAUCUGGAAACGAAUGCUAAUACCGCAUAACAACUUUAAACAUAAGUUUUAAGUUUGAAAGAUGCAAUUGCAUCACUCAAAGAUGAUCCCGCGUUGUAUUAGCUAGUUGGUGAGGUAAAGGCUCACCAAGGCGAUGAUACAUAGCCGACCUGAGAGGGUGAUCGGCCACAUUGGGACUGAGACACGGCCCAAACUCCUACGGGGGGCAGCAGUAGGGAAUCUUCGGCAAUGGACGAAAGUCUGACCGAGCAACGCCGCGUGAGUGAAGAAGGUUUUCGGAUCGUAAAACUCUGUUGGUAGAGAAGAACGUUGGUGAGAGUGGAAAGCUCAUCAAGUGACGGUAACUACCCAGAAAGGGACGGCUAACUACGUG
rnacentral:rRNA from 1 species